UCCGGCCGGGAACUCAAAGGAGACUGCCAGUGAUAAACUGGAGGAAGGUGGGGAUGACGUCAAGUCAUCAUGGCCCUUACGACCAGGGCUACACACGUGCUACAAUGGCGCAUACAAAGAGAAGCGAUCUCGCGAGAGCAAGCGGACCUCAUAAAGUGCGUCGUAGUCCGGAUUGGAGUCUGCAACUCGACUCCAUGAAGUCGGAAUCGCUAGUAAUCGUGGAUCAGAAUGCCACGGUGAAUACGUUCCCGGGCCUUGUACACACCGCCCGUCACACCAUGGGAGUGGGUUGCAAAAGAAGUAGGUAGCUUAACCUUCGGGAGGGCGCUUACCACUUUGUGAUUCAUGACUGGGGUGAAGUCGUAACAAGGUAACCGUAGGGGAACCUGC
rnacentral:rRNA from 1 species